rnacentral:rRNA from 1 species
GACGAACGCUGGCGGCGUGCUUAACACAUGCAAGUCGAACGAUGAAGCUGGAGCUUGCUCCAGUGGAUUAGUGGCGAACGGGUGAGUAACACGUGAGCAAUCUGCCCUUGACUCUGGGAUAACUGCGGGAAACUGUAGCUAAUACCGGAUAUGCCACCUUGGGGCAUCCCGAGGUGUGGAAAGAAUUUCGGUCAAGGAUGAGCUCGCGGCCUAUCAGCUGGUUGGUAAGGUAACGACUAACCAAGGCGACGACGGGUAGCCGGCCUGAGAGGGUGACCGGCCACACUGGAACUGAGACACGGUCCAGACUCCUACGGGAGGCAGCAGUGGGGAAUAUUGCACAAUGGGCGAAAGCCUGAUGCAGCAACGCCGCGUGAGGGAUGACGGCCUUCGGGUUGUAAACCUCUUUUAGCAGGGAAGAAGCGAAAGUGACGGUACCUGCAGAAAAAGCACCGGCUAACUACGUGCCAGCAGCCGCCGUAA